rnacentral:rRNA from 1 species
GUCUUCUGAUUGUAAGUUCUUUUAUUUAGGAAAAAAAGCGCGCUAGGAAAUGAGCGCACCUUGAUGGUACUAAUUGAAUAAGUGACAGCUAACUAUGUGCCAGCAGCUGCGGUAAAACAUAGGUCACGAGCAUUAUCCGGAUUUAUU